UACGAAGGGGGCUAGCGUUGCUCGGAAUCACUGGGCGUAAAGCGCACGUAGGCGGAUUGCUAAGUCAGGGGUGAAAUCCUUGAGCUCAACUCCAGAACUGCCUUUGAUACUGGCGAUCUUGAGUCCGGGAGAGGUGAGUGGAACUGCGAGUGUAGAGGUGAAAUUCGUAGAUAUUCGUAAGAACACCAGUGGCGAAGGCGGCUCACUGGCCCGGUACUGACGCUGAGGUGCGAAAGCGUGGGGAGCAAACAGG
rnacentral:rRNA from 1 species